AUUACCUUGAAAUUGCGAUUUAUUUCAUCCAAGAUACUGAAGGAAUCAGCGUGUCCUCCCUGACCGAGCGGUCCGGGUAACCCGCUGAACCUCCUUCGUGCUAGGGAUUGGGGCUUGCAAUUGUUCCCCAUGAACGAGGAAUUCCCAGUAAGCGCGAGUCAUAAGCUCGCGUUGAUUACGUCCCU
rnacentral:ncRNA from 1 species